CCAGGCCGCCCACUGGGUGCAGCCCCACAGCCCCGCCCUGGCCCGCUUCUACCUGAGCACCCAAAGAGGGGCCUCCCGGCGCCUGGUGCUGCGCCUGGCCCCCCCGGUGAAGCGUCUCGUGUGUCGCCGCUGCUGCUCCCUCCUGCUGCCCGGGGAGGGGUCGGGGCAGCGACUGCGAGGGCGGGGCCAGCCCCG